UACAUACACAUGUAUCUAUAUAUGUAUGUCUGUAUUGGUAUUUAAUGUUAAAAUAAUAUCAUUAAUAGUUAUGUUUUAAUUCCCCAUUGACGUCUUUUCUUCUUCUUCGUCUUCUGCUUCYCCUUCUUCUUCGUCUAUUUCGGUAUAUAUGUAUGUAUGUCGUCUUGUCUGGGGCUUGGUGGGUGUUUUUUGUUUUUCUUUCUUGGGUAUACUUGGUAAUUUUGCGGGCCCUUGAGCAGGCAAUAAUUGAUCGAUCGACGCACAGCUUUAAACCUAAUUAUUCUUCUUCUUCUUCAACGUGUUCCGUUAAUGUCUAUAACCUAACAACAAUGCUCAACAAUUA